rnacentral:rRNA from 1 species
GACGAACGCUGGCGGCAGGCUGAACACAUGCAAGUCGAACGCCCCGCAAGGGGAGUGGCAGACGGGUGAGUAACACGUGGGAACGUGCCCUAAGGCUUGGAAUAUUCCCGGGAAACUGGGAGCAAUACCAAAUGUGUCCGCAAGGAGAAAGAUUUAUCGCCUUCGGAUCGGACCGCGUCAGAUUAGGGAGUUGGUGGGGUAAUGGCCUACCAAGCCGACGAUCUGUAGCUGGUCUGAGAGGACGACCAGCCACACUGGGACUGAGACACGGCCCAGACUCCUACGGGAGGCAGCAGUGGGGAAUCUUGGACAAUGGGCGCAAGCCUGAUCCAGCCAUGCCGCGUGGAUGAUGAAGGCCCUAGGGUUGUAAAAUCCUUUCGUUGGGGACGAUAAUGACGGUACCCAAAGAAGAAGCUCCGGCUAACUUCGUGCCAGCCGCCGCCGUAA